CAACCUGAGAGUUUGAUUCUGGCUCAGAACGAACGCUGGCGGCAGGCUUAACACAUGCAAGUCGAACGAUAUAGUGGCAGACGGGUGAGUAACGCGUGGAAACGUGCCUUUCACUACGGAAUAGCUUUUGGAAACGAAAGGUAAUACCGUAUACGCCCUCCGGGGGAAAGAUUUAUCGGUGAAAGAUCGGUCCGCGUUAGAUUAGCUAGUUGGUGAGGUAAGAGCUCACCAAGGCGACGAUCUAUAGCUGGUCUGAGAGGAUGAUCAGCCACACUGGGACUGAGACACGGCCCAGACUCCUACGGGAGGCAGCAGUGGGGAAUAUUGCACAAUGGGCGCAAGCCUGAUGCAGCCAUGCCGCGUGAAUGAUGAAGGCCUUAGGGUUGUAAAAUUCUUUCGCCAAGGAUGAUAAUGACAGUACUUGGUAAAGAAGCCCCGGCUAACUUCGUGCCAGCAGCCGCGGUAAUACGAAGGGGGCUAGCGUUGUUCGGAAUUACUGGGCGUAAAGCGCACGUAGGCGGAUUUUUAAGUCAGAUGUGAAAUCCCAAGGCUCAACCUUGGAACUGCAUUUGAAACUGGGAAUCUAGAGAUCAGGAGAGGUUAGUGGAAUACCGAGUGUAGAGGUGAAAUUCGUAGAUAUUCGGUGGAACACC
rnacentral:rRNA from 1 species